UCUCUCUAGAACGAAAGCAAAGUUCAGGUUGCAGGACGGGGAAAAAAAAACUAAAACCACAAUGCCGGUCAGACAUAUCUUCUUGUUUCCUUGCACAGAGGGAGGAAAAGAGAGAAAGAGGUCUUUGAAAAGGGAACCAGGAAUUGAGCAACCUGGGAGAAAAAAUUUAUACACUCUUUGACAUUUAAAAAUAGGUGGUUUUUUUUUUUUUUGGAAGAACUAAUUCAUGCAUGGCCAGUGCAAUCUGAAUUUCAAGAGCAGGAAGUUUCAACUCCAGCCGGUGUCUUUCUUGUGAACUGAACACUUUCCCCGAAUCAAAGAGGCACCGAGUCACUGCCUUGGGUAGGGUUAUGCCAGAGAAAAGCAGUACCAGGAUAUGAACUCUCCCUUUAAAGACAGCCAAGACAAGGAACUCAAAACAAGAAGUCAUUCGGCCUUUGCUUGUUUUCUUUUUAAAGGAGCCAUGUCAAUAAUGCUUGGAAAAAUCCCAAGAAGUUGGGAAAGAUACACAAAGGGUGCAGUGAUGCCAAACUGCAUAUAUUCUACAGUACAGAUGCACCAUAAGAGGUGAGAUCUAAUUCCUCUAAAAUGAGAGGACCACCUUUGGGAUGCUCAGAAUUACUCCUGGACCAUCCAGAGGAAAAAUUAUGAAUCAAUGUUGGAAUUCAACCAUUUUGCAACCAUCACUGCAGAAAGCCGCUGCAAAAACAGUUUCCCUCCAUUGCACUUUCAGCUUCACAAUAAAGUUCAAGACGACUGUGUUCCUCCUCCAAUUAAAAAUGCUAAUGUGCCCAGUUAAUUGUUCUGACUGCCGUUAUCUGUCAGCAAGCAAGGCCAACCUGUGGGAGGAAUUCCUUGCCUCUUGAUGGGGAAAAGAGAGUUGCAGCUUGUACCCAGAGCAGAUGAAGG